AUUGAACGCUGGCGGCAUGCCUUACACAUGCAAGUCGAACGGUAACGCGGGGCAACCUGGCGACGAGUGGCGAACGGGUGAGUAAAGCAUCGGAACGUGCCCAGUAGUGGGGGAUAGCCCGGCGGAAGCCGGAUUAAUACCGCAUACGACCUACGGGUGAAAGGGGGGGAUCGCAAGACCUCUCGCUAUUGGAGCGGCCGAUGUCAGAUUAGGUAGUUGGGGGGGUAAAGGCCUACCAAGCCUGCGAUCUGGAGCUGGACUGAGAGGACGACCAGACACACUGGGACUGAGACACGACCCAGACUCCUACGGGAGGCAGCAGUGGGGAAUUUUGGACAAUGGGCGCAAGCCUGAUCCAGCCAUGCCGCGUGCGGGAAGAAGGCCUUCGGGUUGUAAACCGCUUUUGUCAGGGAAGAAAAGCCUUGGGUUAAUACCCUGGGGUGAUGACGGUACCUGAAGAAUAAGCACCGGCUAACUACGUGCCAGCAGCCGCCGUAA
rnacentral:rRNA from 1 species